ensembl:snoRNA SNORA70 Small nucleolar RNA SNORA70
CAGCUACCAUGUAAGUUAACCAGUUCCCUUCCCCAUGGGGGCCUUGUGUGUAAUGGCCAUGAUGAGUACAUGCAUCCUGCUGCCUGGAGGAGUUGCCCCAAGGGACAUUGGAGACAGUU